AUAGACUUUCACAUUUGCUGGCUCCCGUCCACUCAUGCCAUUGAUGAGCAAUCAUAAUCAUUUAGCAUUGAGCUUAUUGCCCUGCAACAUGCUCUCCCACUCUGAGUUGUUGAUAUCUACAACAGACUCAGACAUCUAGCUCCUUUGAAACUAGACUUCAAUAUCUCUAGGUCUCUUCACUACUUUGGAUACCCCCGUAUCUAUAGCCAAAUGCAUACAACUUGAUACCAUAC
rnacentral:lncRNA from 1 species